CUGCGAGAAAGGAUUCGGCUUAUUUAUCUACUUUGACCCCCGCUUCCGGACUUGUUCGG
rnacentral:misc_RNA from 1 species